GUCCACGCUGUAAACGAUGAUCACUCGUUGUUGGCGAUAAACAGCCAGCGACUGAGCGAAAGCAUUAAGUGAUCCACCUGGGGAGUACGGUCGCAAGACUGAAACUCAAAGGAAUUGACGGGGGCCCGCACAAGCGGAGGAACAUGUGGUUUAAUUCGAUGAUACGCGAGGAACCUUACCUGGGCUUAAAUGUAGAACGACGUUCCGGGAAAUCGGAAUUCCCUUCGGGGCGUUUUGCAAGGUGCUGCAUGGUUGUCGU
rnacentral:rRNA from 1 species